rnacentral:rRNA from 1 species
AUUGAACGCUGGCGGCAUGCUUUACACAUGCAAGUCGAACGGCAGCGCGGGCUUCGGCCUGGCGGCGAGUGGCGAACGGGUGAGUAAUACAUCGGAACGUGCCCAGUAGUGGGGGAUAGCUCGGCGAAAGCCGGAUUAAUACCGCAUACGACCUGAGGGUGAAAGCGGGGGAUCUUCGGACCUCGCGCUAUUGGAGCGGCCGAUGGCAGAUUAGCUAGUUGGUGGGGUAAAGGCCUACCAAGGCGACGAUCUGUAGCUGGUCUGAGAGGACGACCAGCCACACUGGGACUGAGACACGGCCCAGACUCCUACGGGAGGCAACAGUGGGGAAUUUUGGACAAUGGGCGAAAGCCUGAUCCAGCAAUGCCGCGUGUGUGAUGAAGGCCUUCGGGUUGUAAAGCACUUUUGGCGGGAACGAAAAGGACUGUGCCAAUACCACGGUUCGAUGACGGUACCCGCAGAAUAAGCACCGGCUAACUACGUG